GCUAGAAAGACCAAUUCCCAGAAACAUUUUGUUAUGUGAAUAACUAUGCUAUUCAUAAGUUAAAAGGCCAGAGAUGUGUAUUAUGUAUGCUGAUAUUUAGUUGCCUUGAGGGAGCUGGAAAACAUUAAUGCAUCAAUGUGGUCAAACUGUAAGUACAGCUACAACUAUAUAUUUACUAACAUUUUGCCCAAAUGAACACUUGCCAUGAAGAGUUCUAUCAUUUAUAGUUCUAACAUUAGCAGAUCUUUAUAUAAGAACCCUCUUUAGAAUCUUGUAGUGAAUCUGGUUAUUUCUCUGGUUGCUAAGUUUUCUUCUUGUUGUUCAAAUAUUUAGAGGUUGCUAUUUUGUUCGGCUGUCUUAGCCAAGCUUAGACAUGCUUUAGUAUGUGUGAUUUUAAAAAAAUAAUUCCUUGCAUGUUCUUAACAUUUUCAGUGCUUCUUUUAGAAUGCUUUGCAUGUGUUGGUGAUGAGAUACCCAGAUCUGCACGCAGCAUUUCAAGGCUGAGUUGAGGGAACGAAAUUGCUCAGAUGCCUGAGGCGACAGACUGAGUUAACUUGAACAUUUUGAUUAUUCAAAUGAGAAUUAUCCAAAUGACCCAGAUUUCUUCCUUACUGCAUCAUGACAAAUUGCUAGACAAUGACACCUCUACUGUCUGCAUUUCUGUGGGCAGACACAUUUGGAUAGCCAUACAGAGUAAUUCCAAACACCCACAUUGUGAAGGUCACCAAGUGCAGAAUUAGCACAGACACCAGCUUUAAGAUGACGGUUGCCAAGUCCUAGCUGCACCUGGCUGAAACUGAAACAUAAUCAUCCUGGGGUGAGUCAUGUUUGGUAACUGUAUCUGGAGUAAACCAACCAAAUACCUACCAAGCUGAACUAA
rnacentral:lncRNA from 1 species